rnacentral:pre_miRNA from 1 species
AUAUUACUCCCUCCGUCCCUUCUUGUCUUAGAUUUGUCUAAAUACGGAUGUAUCUGGUUACAUUUUAGUGUUAGAUACAUCCAUAUCUUGACAAAUCUGAGUCAAGAAAUUUGGGACGGAUGUUCUUA